rnacentral:rRNA from 1 species
UACGUAGGGGGCUAGCGUUGUCCGGAAUCAUUGGGCGUAAAGCGCGUGUAGGCGGUUCGGUAAGUCCGCUGGGAAAGUCGGGGGCUCAACCCUCGGAUGCCGGUGGAUACUGUCGGGCUUGAGUACGGAAGAGGCGAGUGGAAUUCCUGGUGUAGCGGUGAAAUGCGCAGAUAUCAGGAGGAACACCAAUUGCGAAGGCAGCUCGCUGGGACGUUACUGACGCUGAGACGCGAAAGCGUGGGGAGCGAACAGG